AACUGCCACCCACCACUCCCCAAAUCUACUUUUCAUCAAAAUUGGAAAAAAGAAGCUACUUUUCAUCAAAAUCCUUUAUCUUCUUCUCCGAUAAUAUGAAAGACCUUUGAGAUUCUCAAUCGAGUUCAUGUUCCCGCUGCCUUCCUAGUCCUAGCAAAGCGACAGUGUAAAAAGGAACACUCCAUUCCAGGUAAAACUCCUCUUUUCCCUUUAAACUCUAUGUGGCAAUAAUAUGAAUUGUCAGAUUUACCCGUCUAGGAAUAUGCUUAAACCAUAUCGUGUUAAAUCGACCCUUAUUCUGGUGUAUUUUCUCUAAUAUAAGCUCUUAUUUCUGGCUUGUCUUCAACAUCAGCCAAACAUUUUUUUAUAAUUGUUAACGCAUCUCCUUCGAUUUCUACUGCGUCCACACACAUGGUUACCCUAACCUAACUGCAUAAGCGUAUGUGCAAGCUUCCGCGGCAAAAGAGGAGGCAAUCCGAUUCUCCACCACUGACUUUAAGACCAAAACCUCCCCCUAUCAUUUCUGACCACCAACCCCACAGCAGAUCUGAAGUGACGAAGGUUAAAAACUGCGUCAAAAUUGAUGCGCACGAUUUCAUUCUCUAGGGGUUUCCACUCUAAAAAAGAAAGAUGUUUGGUAAGGCUUCUAUUACUCAUAACAUCAUUUUCCUGCACAAAUAUGGUUAUUAUGUCCACUAACUCCCUCCCAAAACUAUUUUUCCUUUCAUGUAUUACUUUGUUCUUCGCACUCUAGAUUGUUUGAUUCAUGUUUAAAAUGUUUGUGCCUCAAUCGAUCAUGUUUUCAAUUAAAUUCAAGCAUGUAUUUCAUUCAUAUGUGAUUGGAUGCAUUAGAAUUAGUUGAGCGAUCCUAACCAGAUGACGGCUAGUGGACGUAAUAAUUGAAAAGUGCAUGCUUAAUUUAUAUCCUAACUCGACUAAAUUGAAGGUUCAUAAUAACUUUAACGAGCUUUAUUAUCUUGCAUAGUUUUUAGGUUUAUUUGAUUAAACAGUUUCAAACCUAACCAGUCCCUGUUACCUCACAUAAAUAAAUACUAAGAAACCCUUAGCUUAAUAUGAUCAGUAUAAUACGUGUUUCACUAAGUAAAAGAUUUCGAAAGGACUUAAGUUGGUUUCCAAACUCAUGAAAGAUCGAGUUUCCAUAGAAUAUUUUCCAAACACUAUUAAGCAUGAUGAAAAUGAAUUAAAUUGAUUAAUGUAAUUAUCCUAGCCUAUUCAUGUUAUUGAUUAUUGAAGUUGUGUUUCUGCUACUAAAUUCAUUCAUUCAUUUUAGGUAAUUAUCAUACUUUGCAUUUAGAUUAAUUUGCAUUAGGGAUCAAUUUUGCAUCUAGUUAAUUUAACUUAGUUUAAUCAUCAUCACCCAAAUUAUUGUGUUUUUAACACCAAAUUGUUAACUUAUAAUUUUACAAAUAAUUGAUUAACAUACACAGUUCCUGUGGAGACGAUAACUCAUUUUACUUACUUAUUACUUGAACUACUAUGUACACUUGCACAAAAAUACCGUUACAAGUUUUUGGCAUUGUUGCUGGGGACUGUUGCCUUAAUCAUUUUUGUGAAAUUAUUCUUUAUAGUUUGGUUUUUAUUUUAUUUUUAUCUAACCUCUAACUUUACUAAUUUAUUCUUGAUUCUUUAUUUUUUAUGAUUUAUUUUUCAGGUGUUUAUAAGCAUUGAUUAAAUUAUCGAUUUAUUACCUGUAGACCCUAAAAUCGAGCAGACAUUUAGACAGAGAAGACGCGAGAGGUUAGCUAAAAGACAAACUGAGAUGGACCUUGGAAAUCAGAAUGAUGGACAAGGUAAUGGAGUCAAUCAUGUGUACAACCCAAUCCUUAUUACUAAUGAUAGGGAUCAUGCCAUAAGAUAAUAUGUUGUGCCAUUCUUCAAUGAGUUAAAUCCGGAAAUUAAGAGGUCGAAUAUUGAGGCACCCCAAUUUUAGUUGAAACCAGUGAUAUUUCAAAUACUUCAAACAAUGGGCCAGUUCAGUGGUAUGCCCAUGGAAGAUCCACAUCUUCACCUUUGAUUAUUCAUGGAGAUAAGUGAUUCGUUUAAAAUAGCUGGUGUGAUUGAAGAUGCGUUAAGGUUGAAGUUGUUUUCAUACCUAUUGAGCGAUCAAGCACGAGCAUGGCUGAAUUCAUUACCACCAAGUUCAAUAUCUACUCGGCAAGAGUUAGCAAAAAGGUUUUUAGUAAAGUAUUUUCCAUUGAGUAAUAACGUAAUGUUGCGAAAUGAGAUUACUACUUUCCAACAAUUAGGUGAUGAGCCCCUGUACGAGGCGUGGGAAAGAUUCAAUGAGCUACUUCAUAAGUGUCCUCAUCAUGGGAUUCCACAUUGCAUCUAGUUGGAGAUGUUUUAUAACGGCCUCAAUGCACACACAAGAUUGAUGGUAGAUGCUUCUGCGAAAGGCGCGAUUUUGUCUAAGUCUUAUAAUGAGGCUUAUGAGAUCAUCAAGAGGAUCGCUAGCAACAACAACUUCAGGAAGACGAGUAGCUGUAGUGCACGAAGUGGAUGCACUUACAUCAAUCUCUGCUCAGGUAUCUUCUAUUUCCUCAAUGUUGAAACAGUUUACUAUUAAUAGUUCUAAUAAUUUUGUAGCUCAAUCUCUAAGUUAGUAUAAUGUUGUUUCCUCUGCAUAUUGUGAGGAUGACCAUUCUUUCGAGAAUUGCCCUUCAAACCCUAAGUUUGUUUAUUAUGUAAGGAAUUAGUCUCAAAAUAGAAGUGGACAAGGACCACAGUCCAACUUCUACAAUCCUUUGUGGCGCAAUCAUCCGAAUUUUUCUUAGAGUAACUAAGGAAAUGGACUGAACAACACCUACAUCUAGCAUAGACCUAACCAAUCUCAAGGGUUUAACCAACAAGCUCCAAAACCACCUCAAGCUGAAUCAUCAAAUAAUUUGGAGGAAUUGUUGAAGGUGUACAUGGUGAAAAAUGAUGCAUUAAUCCAAAGUCAAGCAGCAACAAUAAAGAAUUUGGAGAACCAAAUGGGUCAGUUAGCUACCGAGUUUCGUAAUAGACCGCAAGGAGCCUUGCCGAGUGAUACAAAAAAUCCAAGGAAUUUUGGUAAGGAACAUUGCAAGGUAGUUUCAUUACGAAGUGUUAAGAUUUUGGAACCCAAGAAGGUUGUGAUUGAGGAUGAGCCUAUGAGAAGGAGGAAAGUCAACCAACAGUUAAAGUUCUUAUAUUGGAAAAGCCAGAUAUUGAGAAAUCUGAUGAGGUAAAAUCUAAACUAGUGAAUUCUGAUAAGCUAACACAUUCUUUUAUAGAUUUAUCUCUUCGGAAAAGUUGUCCAAUUCAACCUAAAGUUUCAUCACCUCCAUAUCCUCAAAGACUCCAGCAGCAUAGGAAAAAACAAUAGGUGCAAUUCAAGAAGUUCUUGAAUGUUCUGAAGCAACUUCACAUCAACAUCUCAUUGGUGAAAGCUUUAGAGCAAAUUCCUAAUUACGUGAAGUUCAUAAAAGACAUCCUAUCCAAGAAGAAAAUACUUAGUGUGUAUGAGACUGUCGCUUUAAUAAAGGAGUACAAUGCGUUCCUACAGAACAAGCUACCUCCAAAAUUGAAGGAACUUAGAAGUUCACCAUACCGUGUAACAUCAGAGAAUCUUACUGUGGUAAAGCUUUGUGCGACCUAGGAGCAAUCAUCAACUUGAUUCCCAAAUCUAUUUUUAAGUUGUUGGGAAUAGGUAAAGUAAAACUCACUACUGUGACACUUCAACUAGCGAAUCAGUCUUUAGCAUAUUUCGAAGGAAAGAUCAAAGAUGUUUUGCUAAGAGUUGAUAAGUUUAUUUUUCCUGCUGACUUUAUUGUGUUAGACUUUGAAGAAGAUAAGGAAGUGUCGAUCAUCUUUGGGAGACCUUUCCUAGCUACGAGAAGAACAUUAAUAGAUGUGCAAAAAGGCAAACUCAGAAUGAGAGUUCAAAACGAUCAUGUAACAUUUAAUGUUCUGAAAGUAAUGAAAUUUCCAAAUCCAACGGAGGAAUGUUCAGUAAUGGAGGAGUAAGAAACCUUAGUUUCUAUGGAAUGGGAAAGUAAUCUUGAAGAAGACUCAUUAGAGAACACUUUAGAGUCUGACCCAUUGGAAUAUGAAAAAGGUAAUGACAAUAUGGUUUGAUGGAAGCCAAUCUGAGGAGCUAUGUUCAACCACUGCGGUUUAAACCAUUAGAGUUGAAAGUUCGAGAAUUUACACAACACAAGUUAUCAAUCAAUGAACCACCUAAGCUCAAACUAAAGGUACUCCCUUCCCAUUUAAAAUACGUUUAUUUAGGUAACAAUUUUACUUUACCUAUGAUUGUUUCAGCAGAACUAACAGAACAUCAAGAAGAGCAAUUGGUUAUUGGUUGGACCAUAGUUGACAUUCGAAGUAUAAGCCCUUCCUUUUGUAUGCACAAAAUUAUUUUAGAGGGUGAAAGAGGUAGAAUCAAUGGGCAAAGGAGACUUAACCCUAUCAUGAUAGAGGUAGUGCGGAAGUAAUGAUCAAAUGGUUAGAUGCGGGAAUUAUCUACCCCAUAUCAGAUAGUUCGUGGGUAAGUCCGGUAUAGUGUAUACCAAAGAAAUGUGGGAUCACGAUUUUUUAGAAUGAACGUAGCGAGUUAAUCCCAAUGAGAACUACGAAGGGUUGGAGAAUCUGUAUUGACUAUAGAAAGUUGAACAAAACUACUCGGAAAGACCAUUUUCAGUUGUUUUUUAUGGAUCAAAUGUUAGAUCGAUUGGCAUGUAAUGAAUUUUACUGCUUUUAGAUGGAUAUUCGGGAUACAAUCAAAUAGUUGUAGCCCUAGAAGACCAACAUAAAACUACUUUUACUUGCACGUACGAUACAUUUUCUUUUAAACACGUACCUUUUGGCUUAUGUAAUACACUUGCCACAUUUUAGCGAUGUAUGAUGGGAAUUUUCACUGAUAUGGUUGAAAAUUUUGUCGAAGUUUUCAUGGAUGAUUUUUUAAUUUUUGGUAACACUAAUGAAGUUUGUUUGAGUAAUUUGGCUAAGGUACCAAAGAGAUGCGAGGUGAUGAAUCUUAUCCUUAACAGGGAAAAAUGUCAUUUUAUGGUUAAGGAAUGAAUUGUCUUAGGACAUAAAAUUUCCAAAAGUGGUAUUGAAGUUGAUAAAGCUAAGGUGGAUGUAAUUGAAAAGUUACCACCUCCAGUUAGUGUGAAAGGAGUUAGAAGUUUCUUAGGCCAUACUAGUUUUUAUCGUAGAUUUAUUAAAGAUUUUUCAAAAAUUUCUAAACCUUUGUGUAUGCUUUUGUAAAAAGAUAUUAUUUUUUUAUUUUAACAAAGCAUGUUUAGAAGCUUUCAAUGAAUUGAGAAAUUGAUUAAUCUUAGCCCCAAUAAUUAUUAUUCUUGAUUGGAACUCACCUUUUGAGUUGAUGUGUGACGCAAGCGAUUUCGCAGUUGGAGUUGUGAUAAGUCAAAGAAGAAACAAAGUGUUCCAUCCUAUCUAAUAUGCAAGCAGAACUUGGACAGGAGCCCGGUUCAAUUAUACAACAACUGAAAAAGAACUCUUUGCUAUAUAUUUUUUUUCUUUUGACAAGUUCUGUUCAUAUCUUAUAUGUACCAAAGUUAUAGUGUUUACCGAUCAUGCGGCCAUAAAAUACUUACUCACAAAGAAAUAUGCUAAACCGAAACUAAGUUGAUGGAUACUUUUACUCCAAGAAUUUGACCUUGAGAUUCAAGACAGAAAGGGUUUUGAAAACCAAGUAGCUGACCAUCUGUCAAGGUUGGAACAAAACGAGGUAACCCCUUCACUUUUUCUUAUUAAUGAAAAUUUCCCUAAUGAACAUAUCUUUGAGGUAAGUCAAAUUCAUGAAACACUUGGGUUCGUUGAUUUUGCAAAUUAUUUUGCAUGUGGAAUAAUUCCUCGAGAAUUGACAUACCAACAAAGGAAGAAAUUCCUUCAUGAUAGUCGGCAUUAUUUCUGGGAGGAUCCAUUUUUGUUUAAACAAUAUGCAAAUAACAUAAUUAGGAAGUGCGUAGCUAAAAGUGAAAUUGCAGAGAUCUUUUACCAUUUCCAUUCAUCUCUGAGUGGGGGGCACUUUGGCAGUUCUCGUACUAUAGCAAAGAUUUUACAAUCAGGAUUCUUUUGGCCUACAAUAUUCAAGGAUGCAUAUGCAUAUGUGAAAACUAUGGUAGAUGCCAAAGGACUGAAAUAUAUCAUAGAGGAACAAGAUGCCCUUGGCAAAUAUUUUAGAGGUUGAAUUAUUCGAUGUAUAGGGCAUUGAUUUGCUAGGCCCGUUUCCUUCUUCUUAUGGGAACAAAAAUAUUUUAGUAGCUGUAGAUUAUGUAUCCAAGUGGGUUGAAGCCGAGGCGUACCCAACAAAUGGUGCUAAGGUAGUCAUGCGAUUCCUACAUAAGCAUGUAUUUACACAAUUUGGGACUCUAAGAGCUAUAAUUAGUAAUGAAAGAUCUCACUUUGUAAAUACUUGGCUUAAGUGGUUACUUGACAAGUAUGAUGUGAAACAAAAAGUUGCUAAUGCCUAUCAUCCACAGUCAAAUGGGCAAGUUAAAAGGGUGAAUCGUGAAAUCAAAGGUAUUCUUAAAAAGGUAGUGCACCUCAAUAGAAAAUAUUGGUCUUAAAGGCUCAGUGAUGCUUUAUGGGCCAAUCGAACUACUUUUAAGACGUCGUUAGGAAUGAAUCUGUACAGGUUAGUAUUUGGAAAAGUGUGUCAUUUGUUGCUUGAGUUGGAAAAUAAGACUCACUAAGCUUUGAAACAAUUAAAUUUGGAUCUUAAGCAAACAAAUGUGAGAAGAAUGCUAUAGCUCAAUGAGUUGGAAGAGUUGAGGUUAUUUUCAGACUAGAAUGCCAAGAUAUGUAAAGAAAAAUCUAAAAGAUGGCAUGAAAAUCGUAUACAACCUUGUGAAUUCAGAAUAAGUCAGAAGGUGUUGUUUAAUUCAAGGCUAAGGUUAUUUCCUGUGAAGCUCAAGUCUCAAUGGAAAGGACCUUAUACCAUCUAUAAAGUUUAUCCAUAUGGAGCUGUAGAAUUGUACGACAACCAUGGAGGUACGUUUAAAGUUAAUGGUUAACGUCUCAAACACUAUUAGGAUGGUGAAGUUGAGCAAGUUGAAACCUCGUUCAAAUUAAUAGACCCUUAAUUUUUCAUGUUUUUACUUUUUAAUAAAGAGUUAGAAAUUAUUUUCUUGAAUUAGUAUAUUUAAUUAAUGCUGUGUAAGGAUAUUGAAACUUAAGUGGGACCAUUUGUAACCUCUCCAACCUUUCUUGGGAAUUAAUUUAAUGUAAUCUUUUGAGAAGAAAUUUUCUAAUUAACUUCGAAAUUUUUAUUUUCAUUUUAAUCUUUGUUUUUAAUGUUAAUUUUAAUUGUUUAUGUUUAAUAAGGGGGGUCAAAUUGGCCCAAAUACUAAUCAUUUUAUUUUGUUUUUUAAGUAGUUCAAUUUGUAAAUACAGUUUGGGCUCAAUGCUUGAAACAGUAAAGAGGAGAAAAUUUACCCCAUAUUGCCGACCAAAGAGUUCUUAAAACCCUAAUUUUUCCGCCACUUUCUUUUCCAUCUUACCUUACUGUCCAAGUAACUUUUGUAACUAAAAUUUUGCUACAACUUUACCUUGAUUUAUUACUAUAUAAACCCCUUUUUACCACUAUAUAUUUUCAUAACCAUUCAAGAAAUUAGCUUAAACCCUAGCCACUUAUUCUUUUUCCUCAUAGCCAUGAGUCUUAAAUCCCGAAGAAUCUCUCCAAUUUCUUUCCCUUGUCACAAAACCCUAUUAUCGCUGCCACAUAGCUCUUGCUGGAGUAAUUUUUCCACCGCCGCAAACCUCCUACUAUCAUCCAUUGUCGAUUUCUUUUCCCUUCCUUUUGCCAAAAUUCUGCCUAUAUUUCAGAAAAAAUACCAUGUCUAGCAAAAGAACUAGAUCUUUCAAGACCAAUGCCGAAAAUCUAAUCGUGAUUCAAGAUGCGGAAGCGAGAGAAAGGUUUGAUUCUAUCUUAAAAAAUCAACAAAUGAUGCUAGAAAAAGGUUUCAAUUUAGAGAGCAAUGACAAAAUGGUGGUGCCUUUGCCAAUUCGAAAAAAAUUGAUGUCCUUAAUUGAACUAUUCCUGUGAUGCGCGAUCACUUCCUGAAGAGAAGUUAGUUCGAGAAUUUCAUGCCAACGUAACUAUGCUAGAUGCUAUGGAAGUUAUUGUUCACAAAAAGAAGGUACCCUUAACUUCUAAAUCCAUUAAUGAUUUGUUUUAUUUGCCUGAUGUUGAAGAGGAUGAGUACUUUGCCAUGAUGACAAAUAUAAAUUGGGAUUUUCUUCAACAAGUGCUUAAUAUUGUCACAAAUCUAGGAUCCCAAUGGAUUAUAAGAAAGUAUGGUAGUUAUUCUUGCCGAAGGGAAUAUCUAAAAUCGGUAGCUAAGGUAUGGCUUUACUUUGUUCAAUAUAACUUCAUGCCUAUCGCAUAUAGUUCUACCAUCUUGAUGGAAUGAAUGUUUUUUUUAAUGCAAUUAUGACAGCAAGGUCUAUCAAUGUUGGAAAAAUUAUUCUCAUGGAGAUCCAUGAUUGAGCUAAAAAAAAGAUAAGAAGUAUCCACUUUCCAUCAUUGAUUACUUCACUUUGCUUAAGGGCCCAAGUUAAAUCAAAAGCAAACCUGAAGGGCCAAUAUGUUCAAGGUUGCAUCACAGCCCAUGAUCUUGAAAGGUUAGUGGAGAAUGUCCAUGAGUUGAACCCAGUUGAACCGAAUGAACCAACCGAACCAGAAACUGACGAAAUUGAUUAUGUAAUUAUCCUAGCCUAUUCACGUUAUUGAUUGUUGAAGUUGUAUUUCUGCUGCUAAAUUCAUUCAUUCAUUCAUUUUAGUUAAUUAUCAUACUUUGUAUUUAGAUUAAUUUGCAUUAGGGAUCAAUUUUGCAUCUAGUUAAUUUAACUUUUUUUAAUCAUCAUCAUUCAAAUUAUUGUGCUUUUAUCACCGAAUUGUUAACUUAUAAUUUUGCAAAUAAUUGAUUAACAUACACAGUUCCUGUGGAGACGAUAACUCAGUUUACUUAUUAUUUGAACGACUAUGUACA
rnacentral:lncRNA from 1 species